AGCCCUGGAACUAAGCCUGGCUCUGGUAAAUAGCUCCAAUGUGCGAGCCAUGAUGCAAGAGCUGCAGGCCUUUCUGGAGUCCUGCCCUCCUGACCUACGGGCUGACUGUGCCUCAGGCAUCCUGCUGGCUGCAGAGAGGUGAGGUGCCCAGGAGUCGAAGAGGGUAGAAUCUGGGGAGCGUCAGUACCAGGACUGAUGAGCCAUAUAUCCCCUAGGUUUGCUCCAACCAAACGCUGGCACAUAGACACCAUCCUGCAUGUGCUGACAACGGUGAGGCAGGGGCCAGUCAGAGAGCUGGGCAGAAGUGGUCAAGAUUCACCACACUGACUUGGCCAUGCCCACACCUUCCAGGCGGGCACCCAUGUGCGGGAUGAUGCAGUGGCCAACCUGACCCAGCUGAUUGGGGGGGCCCAGGAGCUACAUGCCUACUCUGUGCGCCGCCUCUACAAUGCCCUGGCAGAAGACAUUUCCCAGCAACCACUGGUGCAGGUGGCAGCCUGGUGCAUUGGGGAGUAUGGGGACCUCCUGCUGGCGGGGAACUGCGAGGAGAUUGAGCCCCUUCAGGUGGACGAAGAGGAAGUGCUGGCAUUGCUGGAAAAGGUGCUGCAGUCCCAUAUGUCCCUGCCAGCCACUCGAGGAUAUGCCCUCACAGCCCUCAUGAAGCUCAGCACUCGCCUCUGUGGGGACAACAAGUAAGAAGGGGUCCCAGCCCCUUGAGAGAUGGCCUGUCACUGGGUCCACCCAUUUUUGAGUUUCUUUCCAGGCAUACAUGCCCAGCCCUCCCUACCCCCCA
rnacentral:sRNA from 1 species